rnacentral:rRNA from 1 species
GCUAAGCAGCGUCGGGCCUGGUUAUGAUCUCGUCUGAUCUAGAAAGCUAAGCAGGGUCGGGCCUGGUUAAUACUUGGAUGGGAGACAGCCUGGGAAUACCAGGUGCUGUAAGCU